GCGGAGGAAAAGAAACCAACAGGGAUUGCCCUAGUAACGGCGAGUGAAGCGGCAACAGCUCAAAUUUGAAAUCUGGCCCUCGGGUCCGAGUUGUAAUUUGUAGAGGAUGCUUUUGGUGCAGUGCCUUCCGAGUUCCUUGGAACAGGACGCCUUAGAGGGUGAGAGCCCCGUACGGUUGGACACUAAGCCUCUGUAAAGCUCCUUCGACGAGUCGAGUAGUUUGGGAAUGCUGCUCUAAAUGGGAGGUAAAUUUCUUCUAAAGCUAAAUACCGGCCAGAGACCGAUAGCGCACAAGUAGAGUGAUCGAAAGAUGAAAAGUACUUUGAAAAGAGGGUUAAAUAGCACGUGAAAUUGUUGAAAGGGAAGCGUUUAUGACCAGACCUUUGUCUGGCGGAUCAUCCGGUGUUCUUCACCGGUGCACUUCGCCAGGCUCAGGCCAGCAUCGAUUUCUGUAGGGGGAUAAAAACCAUGGGAACGUAGCUCUCUCCGGGGAGUGUUAUAGCCCUAGGUACAAUACCUUUACGGGGAUCGAGGUUCGCGCUUCUGCAAGGAUGCUGGCGUAAUGGUCAUCAACGACCCGUCUUGAAACACGGACCAAGGAGUCGAACAUUUAUGCGAGUGUUUGGGUGUUAAACCCUCACGCGUAAUGAAAGUGAACGGAGGUGAGAGCCCGUACGGGUGCAUCAUCGACCGAUCCUGAUGUCUUCGGAUGGAUUUGAGUAAGAGCAUAACUGUUCGGACCCGAAAGAUGGUGAACUAUGCGUGGAUAGGGUGAAGCCAGAGGAAACUCUGGUGGAGGCUCGCAGCGGUUCUGACGUGCAAAUCGAUCGUCAAAUCUGCGCAUGGGGGCGAAAGACUUAUCGAA
rnacentral:rRNA from 1 species